GAGUUUGAUCAUGGCUCAGGAUGAACGCUAGCGGCAGGCUUAACACAUGCAAGUCGAGGGGUAACAGGAAAAGCUUGCUUUUCGCUGACGACCGGCGCACGGGUGCGUUACGCGUAUAGAACCUACCUUGUACAGGGGGAUAGCCCGGAGAAAUCCGGAUUAAUACCCCGUAGUCUCUGAUUUUCGCAUGAUAUGUCAGAGUAAAGUUUCGACGGUAUAAGAUGGCUAUGCGUCCCAUUAGUUUGUAGGUGAGGUAACGGCUCACCUAGACUAUGAUGGGUAGGGGCCCUGAGAGGGGGAUCCCCCACACUGGUACUGAGACACGGACCAGACUCCUACGGGAGGCAGCAGUGAGGAAUAUUGGACAAUGGGCGAAAGCCUGAUCCAGCCAUGCCGCGUGCAGGAAGACAGCCCUAUGGGUCGUAAACUGCUUUUAUACAGGAAGAAUAAGGGGCACGUGUGCCCUGGUGACGGUACUGUAAGAAUAAGGACCGGCUAACUCCGUGCCAG
rnacentral:rRNA from 1 species